rnacentral:tRNA from 2 species
GGGUCGUUAGCUCAGUUGGUAGAGCAGCGGACUUUUAAUCCGUUGGUCGCUGGUUCGAAUCCAGCACGGCCUA